GAUGAAGAACGCAGCGAAAUGCGAUACGUAAUGUGAAUUGCAGAAUUCAGUGAAUCAUCGAAUCUUUGAACGCAUAUUGCGCUCUUUGGUAUUCCGAAGAGCAUGCUUGUUUGAGUAUCAGUAAACACCUCAAAGCUUUUGGAUUUUUUAAUCGAAAAGCUUUGGACUUGAGCAAUCCCAACACCAAUCUUUUUGAGAUCGGUGGCGGGUUGCUUGAAAUGCAGGUGCAGCUGGACAUUCUCCUGAGCUAAAAGCAUAUUCAUUUAGUCCCGUCAAACGGAUUAUUACUUUUGCUGCAGCUAACAUAAAGGGAGUUUGACCGUAAUGGCUGACUGAUGCAGGAUUUCACAAGGGUCGGCAACGAUUCUUGUUAAACUCGAUCUCAAAUCAAGUAAGACUACCCGCUGAACUUAAGCAUAUCAAUAAGCGGAGGA
rnacentral:misc_RNA from 1 species